rnacentral:rRNA from 1 species
AACGAACGCUGGCGGCGUGGAUAAGACAUGCAAGUCGUGCGGAAACUGCUUGGUAGCAAUAUCGAGCAGCUUCAGCGGCGAAAGGGUGCGUAACGCGUGGGCAAUCUUCCUAAAAGCUUGGAAUAACACCGAGAAAUCGGAGCUAAUACCGAAUGUGACUACUGGGCGGAUUCGCCUUGGCAGUUAAAGCCGGGGGACCGAAAGGCCUGGCACUUUUAGAUGAGCCCGCGGCCUAUCAGCUAGUUGGCGGGUAACAGCCCACCAAGGCUAAGACGGGUAGCUGGUCUGAGAGGACGACCAGCCACACUGGAACUGAGACACGGUCCAGACACCUACGGGUGGCAGCAGUCGAGAAUUUUUCACAAUGGGGAACCUGAUGGAGCGACGCCGCGUGGGGGGAUGAAUGGCUUCGGCCCGUAAACCCCUGUCAUUUGCGAGCAAAUGUAGCUAGCCUAAUACGCUGCCACUUGAUAGUAGCGAAAGAGGAAGGGACGGCUAAACUC